ACUCCCAAAAAAGCCUAUGUCAGGAAAUUAAUAAUAUGAUGAGUCAAUUUUAGUAGGGCCAGAAGGAGAGGGAGAAUCGAAUUCAUUAAAUUUCUUGGAAACGUCUAUGCCAUUUGAAUAGGGAUGGUGCUAUGGGGUUCAGAGACUUGCAUAGUUUCAAUUUGGUGCUUUUGGCAAAAUAGGGGUGGAGCUUGAUUCGGUAUCCAAACUCUUUGUUAGCUCAAAUUAUGAGGAGCAAAUAUUUUUCAAAUGGUGAUCUUUUUACCAGCUCGCUCGAGAUUUAAUUCGUCAAAGGGCAUGGAGGAGCAUAAUGAAAGUUAAGGAAGUCUUAGCGCUCACCGUAAGUGAAGUAUGGUACUCCAAUUCAGUGUAUAUGAAUACCCUUUCACCCCUUUGGUUCAAAGCCCAUGCCCUCGGGAUAUCCAUUGGGUAUCACAAUUCUUAGAUUCUCGAAUGGGUGUGUAGAAGGAGGAUCCAGUUCGCAGCAUGUUCUCUCCCUCGAAUGCGAAGCAAAAGGGUUUAAACAUUCCAGAUUGCCAAACAUUUGAAACCAUAAGAAGACAGUGAAUAUCAUACGGACCUUGGUGGCUUUUGAGUUGUUCGCUUGAAGGGCUAUGAAGAAAAGUACCAAUGUGGAACAGAAGAUUAAAGCUGCUACCAUCACAAGGACCAUCAGCUAAUCAUGCUUCCUCCAGAAUGUGCAUUCAUGCGAAUGCCUGCACUUGCACGCGUGUAUGCAUGCGGGUGCAUAAAUAGGUUAAUAUAUGUACAUGCUGCAUCACAUCAUUCUGAUUGUUGAAAAAAUGGUGCAACUGUCGUUUCUAUUGUAAUAGGGAAGCGCAUAUUCUUCACAUCUCACCAAAACUUUUUAUGCCGCAUGGAAGGAAAAGGCAGAUUGUUGAUUAA